rnacentral:rRNA from 1 species
UACGUAGGGGGCGAGCGUUGUCCGGAAUCAUUGGGCGUAAAGCGCGUGUAGGCGGCUCGGUAAGUCUGCUGUGAAAGUCCAGGGCUCAACCCUGGGAUGCCGGUGGAUACUGUCGAGCUCGAGUCCGGAAGAGGCGAGUGGAAUUCCUGGUGUAGCGGUGAAAUGCGCAGAUAUCAGGAGGAACACCAAUUGCGAAGGCAGCUCGCUGGAACGUAACUGACGCUGAGACGCGAAAGCGUGGGGAGCAAACAGG